rnacentral:rRNA from 1 species
GGACCUACGGGAGGCAGCAGUGAGGAAUAUUGGUCAAUGGGCGGGAGCCUGAACCAGCCAAGUCGCGUGAAGGAAGAAGGUACUUAGUAUUGUAAACUUCUUUUGUCGGGGAACAAAGGCGGAGACGCGUAUCCGGAUGAGUGUACCCGAAGAAAAAGAAUAGGCUAACUCAGUGCCAGCAGCGGCGGUAAUACGGAGGAUGCGAGCGUUAUCCGGAUUUGUUGGGUUUAAAGGGGGCGCAG